AUUGAACGCUGGCGGCAGGCUUAACAUAUGCAAGUCGAGCGGGGAAGGGUAGCUUGCUACCUAACCUAGCGGCGGACGGGAGAGUAAUGCUUAGGAAUCUGCCAUUUAGUGGGGGACAUCAUUCCGAAAGGAAUGCUAAUACCGCAUACGUCCUAUGGGAGAAAGCAGGGGAUCUUCGGACCUUGCACUAAAUGAUGAGCCUAAGUCGGAUUCGCUAGUUGGUGGGGUAAAGGCCUUCCAAGGCGACGAUCGGUAGCAGGGCUGAGAGGAUGAUCAGCCUGACUGCGACUGAGACACGGUCCAGACUCCUACGUGAGGCAGCAGUGGGGAAUAUUGGACAAUGGGCGAAAGCCUGAUCCAGCCAUGUCGCGUGUGUGAAGAAGGCCUUUUGGUUGUAAAGCACUUUAAGCGAGGACGAGGCUACUAGUACUAAUACUACUGGAUAGUGGACGUUACUCGCAGAAUAAGCACCGGCUAACUCUGUGCCAGCCGCCGCGGUAACAC
rnacentral:rRNA from 1 species